CACACAGUAGUUUUCUACUGCUUGAGGGAGCUGAAAGUUAUUUCAACGAGUAGGCUGCCUGUUUGUACCCUUGUCUUUUGCGUACCUAUUGUUUCCUCGGUGGGCUUGCCUGCCGGUUGGACAACUAUAAACUCUUUUUAGUUUCAAUCAGCGUCUAAAUCAACAUAAUAAUUA
rnacentral:misc_RNA from 1 species